UUAAUACAUGCAAGUCGAGCGCUACUUUUUAGUAGAGCGGCGGACGAGCGAGUAACACGUUGGUAUCUGCCCCGAACUCAGGGAUAACAUCUAGAAAUAGGUGCUAAUACCGGAUAGUCAUUGCGCUUCGCGCAAUGUAAAGUUUUCCGGUUCGGGAGGAGCCUGCGGCCUAUCAGCUUGUUGGUAAGGUAAAGGCUUACCAAGGCUAUGACGGGUAACUGGUCUGAGAGGAUGAUCAGUCGCGAUGGGACUGAGACACGGCCCAUACUCCUACGGGAGGCAGCAGUAAGGAAUCGUUCCACAAUGGACGAAAGUCUGAUGGAGCAACACCGCGUGGUUGAUGAAGCCCUUCGGGGUGUAGAGACCUUUUCUGGGAGAAGAAUUCUGACGGUAUCCUAGGAAUAAGCACCGGCUAACUCCGUGCCAGCAGCCGCGGUAAUACGGAGGGUGCAAGCGUUAUCCGGAAUCAUUGGGCGUAAAGCGUCCGCAGGCGGUUUGUUAAGUUGGGUGUAAAAUUUUGCAGCUCGACUGCAAAAAUACAUUCAAAACUGGCAAACUAGAGUACUUCAGAGGUACGUGGAAUUCUGUGUGUAGGGGUAAAAUCCGUAGAUACACAGAGGAAUACCAAAAGCGAAGGCAGCGUACUGGGAAGUCACUGACGCUCAGGGACGAAAG
rnacentral:rRNA from 1 species